rnacentral:rRNA from 1 species
UACGAAGGGGGCUAGCGUUGUUCGGAUUUACUGGGCGUAAAGCGCACGUAGGCGGCGUUUUUAAGUCGGGGGUGAAAGCCUGUGGCUCAACCACAGAAUGGCCUCGAUACUGGGACGCUUGAGUAUGGUAGAGGUUGGUGGAACUGCGAGUGUAGAGGUGAAAUUCGUAGAUAUUCGCAAGAACACCGGUGGCGAAGGCGGCCAACUGGACCAUUACUGACGCUGAGGCGCGAAAGCGUGGGGAGCAAACAGG